ensembl:lncRNA
AUCUUCUUUAUGCACCAAAAGCUGGUAACACUCCAAAGAGAAAGGAAAAAUUUAAAUCGCAUCAUGACCCCUUUAAGCUCACACAGUCUAUCAGACAAGCAGAAAGAAAGAAUGAUCUGUCAUAAAAUGAAUAACUUUGCCCAGUCCUUGAAUGUUAGCCAAUGUAAAUAAAACAGUUAUGAUUGACAAGCAUUACAAAGUAGCAACGAUGAGCAACACAUUCCAAAGUGUCUUCUUCACUCACUUAUAUUUUUAUUAUUUAAAAGCAAACCGAACGUCCUGUUGACUGUCAAGCCUGGAAGCAUUUUGGCAACAGCCUUCAUCAGGAGGCAGGACAGACACACGAUGGGUUAAAAGAAAAAGAUCUGGAGGAGCACAGCGAAAACAUCACUAGCAGAGGUCUGACAAACACUAAAUCUGUAGGAUGCCUCCUGCUGUUCUUCUCAUCGGCUGUCUACUCGCCACAAUCAGCUGUUUAACCACAGCUCAAACUGGAAUCGCUCCAUCUGGACUGGCUACAAAUACUACAACUACCACAUCAAUUAUCUCCUUACCUAUUACAAUACCACCUACACCAGCACUGACUACAACAAUGACUACAACUACAACACCGCCUACACCAGCACCAACUACAUCAUCAUCUUCACCAGCACUGGUUACAACUACAACAGCACGAACUUCAACGUCAUUUACACCACCAACUACUACAACUACAGUCCAUCCACCAGCAUCUCGCAUUAACACUGCAGAUCCUACCUUCGAUCCUACCUCCGACUCCACUACAGCUUCUACCUCCAACACCACUACAGAUCCUACCUUCGAUCCUCCCUUCGACUCCACUACAGCUCCUACCUCCGACUCCACUACAGCUUCUACCUCCAACACCACUGCAGAUCCUACCUUCGAUCCUCCCUUCGACUCCACUACAGCUCCUACCUCCGACUCCACUACAGCUUCUACCUCCAACACCACUACAGAUCCUACCUUCGAUCCUCCCUUCGACUCCACUACAGCUCCUACCUCCGACUCCACUACAGCUUCUACCUCCAAC